CAUACUCCUACGGGAGGCAGCAGUAGGGAAUCUUCCACAAUGGGCGCAAGCCUGAUGGAGCAACACCGCGUGAGUGAAGAAGGGUUUCGGCUCGUAAAGCUCUGUUGUUAAAGAAGAACACGUAUGAGAGUAACUGUUCAUACGUUGACGGUAUUUAACCAGAAAGUCACGGCUAACUACGUGCCAGCAGCCGCGGUAAUACGUAGGUGGCAAGCGUUAUCCGGAUUUAUUGGGCGUAAAGAGAGUGCAGGCGGUUUUCUAAGUCUGAUGUGAAAGCCUUCGGCUUAACCGGAGAAGUGCAUCGGAAACUGGAUAACUUGAGUGCAGAAGAGGGUAGUGGAACUCCAUGUGUAGCGGUGGAAUGCGUAGAUAUAUGGAAGAACACCAGUGGCGAAGGCGGCUACCUGGUCUGCAACUGACGCUGAGACUCGAAAGCAUGGGUAGCGAACAGGAUUAGAUACCCUGGUAGUCCAUGCCGUAAACGAUGAGUGCUAGGUGUUGGAGGGUUUCCGCCCUUCAGUGCCGGAGCUAACGCAUUAAGCACUCCGCCUGGGGAGUACGACCGCAAGGUUGAAACUCAAAGGAAUUGACGGGGGCCCGCACAAGCGGUGGAGCAUGUGGUUUAAUUCGAAGCUACGCGAAGAACCUUACCAGGUCUUGACAUCUUGCGCCAACCCUAGAGAUAGGGCGUUUCCUUCGGGAACGCAAUGACAGGUGGUGCAUGGUCGUCGUCAGCUCGUGUCGUGAGAUGUUGGGUUAAGUCCCGCAACGAGCGCAACCCUUGUUACUAGUUGCCAGCAUUAAGUUGGGCACUCUAGUGAGACUGCCGGUGACAAACCGGAGGAAGGUGGGGACGACGUCAGAUCAUCAUGCCCCUUAUGACCUGGGCUACACACGUGCUACAAUGGACGGUACAACGAGUCGCGAACUCGCGAGGGCAAGCAAAUCUCUUAAAACCGUUCUCAGUUCGGACUGCAGGCUGCAACUCGCCUGCACGAAGUCGGAAUCGCUAGUAAUCGCGGAUCAGCAUGCCGCGGUGAAUACGUUCCCGGGCCUUGUACACACCGCCCGUCACACCA
rnacentral:rRNA from 1 species